GUGAACAUUUCCCACUCGGAUAACUUCAAAGUCUACCUGAUUACACUCAAGGCGACACCUGUGUUAGCACUACCCGUUUAAACUUAAGUCUGCAUCUGUGUAAUUACUUCGAGGUCUAAGUGAAUCUACAGCCUACACAAAUCUAAACAACGAUGCUAAAAAUAACGUUUGUAAUCCUUUUUGCUAUUAUCGUGAAUGUUGCUUUCACGGUGGUAUUUCCACG